rnacentral:rRNA from 1 species
AUUGAACGCUGGCGGCAGGCUUAACACAUGCAAGUCGAACGGUAGCAGGAGAAAGCUUGCUUUCUUGCUGACGAGUGGCGGACGGGUGAGUAAUGCUUGGGAAUCUGGCUUAUGGAGGGGGAUAACGACGGGAAACUGUCGCUAAUACCGCGUAUUAUCGGAAGAUGAAAGUGCGGGACUGAGAGGCCGCAUGCCAUAGGAUGAGCCCAAGUGGGAUUAGGUAGUUGGUGGGGUAAAUGCCUACCAAGCCUGCGAUCUCUAGCUGGUCUGGGAGGAUGACCAGCCACACUGGAACUGAGACACGGUCCAGACUCCUACGGGAGGCAGCAGUGGGGAAUAUUGCGCAAUGGGGGGAACCCUGACGCAGCCAUGCCGCGUGAAUGAAGAAGGCCUUCGGGUUGUAAAGUUCUUUCGGUAUUGAGGAAGGUUGAUGUGUUAAUAGCACAUCAAAUUGACGUUAAAUACAGAAGAAGCACCGGCUAACUCCGUGCCAGCAGCCGCGGUAAUACGGAGGGUGCGAGCGUUAAUCGGAAUAACUGGGCGUAAAGGGCACGCAGGCGGUUAUUUAAGUGAGGUGUGAAAGCCCUGGGCUUAACCUAGGAAUUGCAUUUCAGACUGGGUAACUAGAGUACUUUAGGGAGGGGUAGAAUUCCACGUGUAGCGGUGAAAUGCGUAGAGAUGUGGAGGAAUACCGAAGGCGAAGGCAGCCCCUUGGGAAUGUACUGACGCUCAUGUGCGAAAGCGUGGGGAGCAAACAGG